rnacentral:ribozyme from 1 species
UAUUCUUGAACUCCGAUCCCAACCUCCUCGUGGUGCUAGCUGAAGUAUGAUCUUGGAACUUAUUAAGUUCUUCAGCACAUUGUGCAACGAUCGUAUACCAAUAGGGACGG